CAUGUUCGAUGUUUGCCCCUACUUCCUGCAUAAACACUCACAUGGAAACUGUAUAUGAGUGUUAUUAUUUAGUGCAGCUGGUCUUCAAUAUGCCGUGUUGUGUCAGACGGUUGUGAGUUAUUCAAAUCUCAUUUUUUUUUAAAAAGCUAGGGAUUUUGAAAACUUUCAUAAGAAGGACUGGAAAUGUUGUUCAUAUUGUGCAUAUAUUCCAUGCAACAGAGAAAACUGCGACCUGUGUACAGUAAAGGAACAGUCGUUGGAUUUGUUUGUUUGUUUGUUUGUGCUUUACAUUGUUGUGUAGUUACAUGUAAAAUAUUGCAGAUCUGACGAUUUUCUUUCCAUAAAAUGUGAUGUGAGCGAUUAGAGGGUAUGAGCAACCCUGCAAUUGAUACCAUAAAAUGCACCAACAAUUUGAUUUUGUAUUUGUUUUAAGCGCAAUUCUGUGGGUACCAAGCUUGAUGUGGAAAAUCAAAGUUUUGGACAACAAUAAUCAAACCACAACCCCCAACACAACCUUCACUAAGAGUAACGCUUCAAAAAGUAGUUCUGUGGACAGCGAUGACGUCACAGUUGGAGUUGGAGUAACUCUAGCCACAAUCGUUGUCACUGUCCUCAUGAUCAUCGUCAUUAUUGUUAUCAUGAAGCGGAAGAAAGUAAAUUUCCCGGUCAAUUGUCAACGCAGCGGCUCCAACAGCUCGGGAUCUGGGGCCGACGAUGGAGUGCCAAUGACGGGUGGGAACGCGAAACAAGAUUAACAAGGCUUGAAGGUGGUGGACAUUUUUAGGCUAUAUUUACCUCCUUUAGCCAAAGAACUUUGAUUAAAGAUGUAAGAAAGUGUUCCAAUUUUAAAGCUUAACUAUUUUGGAAUUUUUAUAUUUUUUUUAUACAAAAUAAAGGUUUAUGGCCAAAAACA